UGCUAGUUGCACGAGUUCAGACUCGUAGCAGAUAGCUCAGUAACACGUGGCCAAACUACCCUAUGGAUCCGGAUACCCUCGGGAAACUGAGACUAAUCCGGAAUAGCGUUCAUCGCCUGGAGUGGCACGAACGCGAAACGUUACGGCGCCAUAGGAUGUGGCUGCGGCCGAUUAGGUAGACGGUGGGGUAACGGCCCACCGUGCCCAUAAUCGGUACGGGUUGUGAGAGCAAGAGCCCGGAGACGGUAUCUGAGACAAGAUACCGGGCCCUACGGGGCGCAGCAGGCGCGAAACCUUUACACUGCACGCGAGUGCGAUAAGGGGACUCCGAGUGCGAGGGCAUAUAGUCCUCGCUUUUCACGACCGUAAGGAGGUCGCAGAAUAAGUGCUGGGCAAGACCGGUGCCAGCCGCCGCGGUAAUACCGGCAGCACGAGUGAUGACCGCUAUUAUUGGGCCUAAAGCGUCCGUAGCUGGCCACGCAAGUUCGUCGGGAAAUCUGCGCGCUUAACGCGCAGGCGUCCGGUGGAAACUGUGUGGCUUGGGACCGGAAGACCAGAGGGGUACGUCCGGGGUAGGAGUGAAAUCCCGUAAUCCUGGACGGACCACCGGUGGCGAAAGCGCCUCUGGAAGACGGAUCCGACGGUGAGGGACGAAAGCUCGGGUCACGAACCGGAUUAGAUACCCGGGUAGUCCGAGCUGUAAACGAUGUCUGCUAGGUGUGGCACAGGCUACGAGCCUGUGCUGUGCCGUAAGGAAGCCGUGAAGCAGACCGCCUGGGAAGUACGUCCGCCAGGAUGAAACUUAAAGGAAUUGGCGGGGGAGCACUACAACCGGAGGAGCCUG
rnacentral:rRNA from 1 species